GAUGAAGAACGUAGCGAAAUGCGAUACUUGGUGUGAAUUGCAGAAUCCCGCGAAUCAUCGAGUUUUUGAACGCAAGUUGCGCCCGAAGCCAUUCGGCCGAGGGCACGUCUGCCUGGGUGUCACGCAUCGUUGCCCCCCCAAACUCCGGUUCGGGCGGGGCGGAAGUUGGCCUCCCGUGCGUGCCUGCGCGCGCGGUUAGCCCAAAAGCGAGUCCUCGGCGACGAGCGCCACGACAAUCGGUGGUUUUUUUACCCUCGUUCCUCGUCGUGCGUGUCCCGUCGCCCGAACGCGCUCUUGUGACCCUCACGCGUCGCCUCGGCGGCGCUCCCAACGCGACCCCAGGUCAGGCGGGACUACCCGCUGAGUUUAAGCAUAUCAUAAGCGGAGGA
rnacentral:misc_RNA from 1 species